rnacentral:rRNA from 1 species
GACGAACGCUGGCGGCGUGCUUAACACAUGCAAGUCGAACGGUGAAGCAGAGCUUGCUCUGUGGAUCAGUGGCGAACGGGUGAGUAACACGUGAGUAACCUGCCCUUGACUCUGGGAUAAGCGUUGGAAACGACGUCUAAUACUGGAUACGACGACCGUAGGCAUCUUCUGGUUGUGGAAAGAAUUUUGGUCAAGGAUGGACUCGCGGCCUAUCAGCUUGUUGGUGAGGUAAUGGCUCACCAAGGCGACGACGGGUAGCCGGCCUGAGAGGGUGACCGGCCACACUGGGACUGAGACACGGCGCAGACUCCUACGGGAGGCAGCAGUGGGGAAUAUUGCACAAUGGGCGCAAGCCUGAUGCAGCAACGCCGCGUGAGGGAUGACGGCCUUCGGGUUGUAAACCUCUUUUAGUAGGGAAGAAGCGAAAGUGACGGUACCUGCAGAAAAAGCACCGGCUAACUACGUG